CCUACGGGGGGCAGCAGUGAGGAAUAUUGGUCAAUGGGCGCGAGCCUGAUCCAGCCACGUAGCGUGAAGGAUGAAUGCCCUACGGGUUGUAAACUUCUUUUAUAAAGGAAUAAAGUGAGGCACGUGUGCCUUUUUGUAUGUACUUUAUGCAUAAGGAUCGGCUAACUCCGUGCCAGCAGCCGCGGUAAUACGGAGGAUCCGAGCGUUAUCCGGAUUUAUUGGGUUUAAAGGGAGCGUAGAUGGGUUGUUAAGUCAGUUGUGAAAGUUUGCGGCUCAACCGUAAAAUUGCAAUUGAGACUGGGAGCCUUGAGUACAGUAGAGGUAGGCGGAAUUCGUGGUGUAGCGGUGAAAUGCUUAGAUAUCACGAAGAACUCCGAUUGCGAAGGCAGCCUACUAAACUGCCACUGACAUUGAUGCUCGAAAGUGUGGGGAUCAAACAGGAUUAGAUACCCCAGUAGUC
rnacentral:rRNA from 1 species